rnacentral:rRNA from 1 species
GUAACACUAACUGGAGGACCGAACCGACUAAUGUUGAAAAAUUAGCGGAUGACCUGUGGCUGGGGGUGAAAGGCCAAUCAAACCGGGAGAUAGCUGGUUCUCCCCGAAAGCUAUUUAGGUAGCGCCUCGUGAAUUCAUCUCCGGGGGUAGAGCACUGUUUCGGCUAGGGGGCCAUCCCGGCUUACCAACCCGAUGCAAACUGCGAAUACCGGAGAAUGUUAUCACGGGAGACACACGGCGGGUGCUAAUGUCCGUCGUGAAGAGGGAAACAACCCAGACCGCCAGCUAAGGUCCCAAAGUCAUGGUUAAGUGGGAAACGAUGUGGGAAGGCCCAGACAGCCAGGAUGUUGGCUUAGAAGCAGCCAUCAUUUAAAGAAAGCGUAAUAGCUCACUGGUCGAGUCGGCCUGCGCGGAAGAUGUAACGGGGCUAAACCAUGCACCGAAGCUGCGGCAGCGACACCGUGUGUUGUUGGGUAGGGGAGCGUUCUGUAAGCCUGUGAAGGUGUGCUGUGAGGCAUGCUGGAGGUAUCAGAAGUGCGAAUGCUGACAUAAGUAACGAUAAAGCGGGUGAAAAGCCCGCUCGCCGGAAGACCAAGGGUUCCUGUCCAACGUUAAUCGGGGCAGGGUGAGUCGACCCCUAAGGCGAGGCCGAAAGGCGUAGUCGAUGGGAAACGGGUUAAUAUUCCCGUACUUGGUGUUACUGCGAAGGGGGGACGGAGAAGGCUAUGUUGGCCGGGCGACGGUUGUCCCGGUUUAAGCGUGUAGGUAUGUGUUCCAGGUAAAUCCGGUUCACUUUAACACUGAGGCGUGACGACGAGGCACUACGGUGCUGAAGCAACAAAUGCCCUGCUUCCAGGAAAAGCCUCUAAGCAUCAGGUAACAUCAAAUCGUACCCCAAACCGACACAGGUGGUCAGGUAGAGAAUACCAAGGCGCUUGAGAGAACUCGGGUGAAGGAACUAGGCAAAAUGGUGCCGUAACUUCGGGAGAAGGCACGCUGACACGUAGGUGAAGUGAUUUACUCACGGAGCUGAAGUCAGCCGAAGAUACCAGCUGGCUGCAACUGUUUAUUAAAAACACAGCACUGUGCAAACACGAAAGUGGACGUAUACGGUGUGACGCCUGCCCGGUGCCGGAAGGUUAAUUGAUGGGGUCAGCGCAAGCGAAGCUCCUGAUCGAAGCCCCGGUAAACGGCGGCCGUAACUAUAACGGUCCUAAGGUAGCGAAAUUCCUUGUCGGGUAAGUUCCGACCUGCACGAAUGGCGUAAUGAUGGCCAGGCUGUCUCCACCCGAGACUCAGUGAAAUUGAACUCGCUGUGAAGAUGCAGUGUACCCGCGGCAAGACGGAAAGACCCCGUGAACCUUUACUAUAGCUUGACACUGAACAUUGAGCCUUGAUGUGUAGGAUAGGUGGGAGGCUUUGAAGUGUGGACGCCAGUCUGCAUGGAGCCGACCUUGAAAUACCACCCUUUAAUGUUUGAUGUUCUAACGUGGACCCGUGAUCCGGGUUGCGGACAGUGUCUGGUGGGUAGUUUGACUGGGGCGGUCUCCUCCUAAAGAGUAACGGAGGAGCACGAAGGUUGGCUAAUCCUGGUCGGACAUCAGGAGGUUAGUGCAAUGGCAUAAGCCAGCUUGACUGCGAGCGUGACGGCGCGAGCAGGUGCGAAAGCAGGUCAUAGUGAUCCGGUGGUUCUGAAUGGAAGGGCCAUCGCUCAACGGAUAAAAGGUACUCCGGGGAUAACAGGCUGAUACCGCCCAAGAGUUCAUAUCGACGGCGGUGUUUGGCACCUCGAUGUCGGCUCAUCACAUCCUGGGGCUGAAGUAGGUCCCAAGGGUAUGGCUGUUCGCCAUUUAAAGUGGUACGCGAGCUGGGUUUAGAACGUCGUGAGACAGUUCGGUCCCUAUCUGCCGUGGGCGCUGGAGAACUGAGGGGGGCUGCUCCUAGUACGAGAGGACCGGAGUGGACGCAUCACUGGUGUUCGGGUUGUCAUGCCAAUGGCACUGCCCGGUAGCUAAAUGCGGAAGAGAUAAGUGCUGAAAGCAUCUAAGCACGAAACUUGCCCCGAGAUGAGUUCUCCCUGAGACUUUAGGUCUCCUGAAGGAACGUUGAAGACGACGACGUUGAUAGGCCGGGUGUGUAAGCGCAGCGAUGCGUUGAGCUAACCGGUACUAAUGAACCGUGAGGCUUAACCUU